GCAAAGUAUAAAUCAAUUGAAGUGAACAAUGAAUUAUAAUGUUACUCAUAUAUAUUAUACUUAUAAAUCAUAGGAAAUAUGGGAUUGAUUCAGAAUGAUAUGAAUUCCAGUGUUCUCAGAAAUGUAAUAGUAAGAAUAUUCCAUAAUAGACAGUUAAGGGAAGAGUAACAGAAUGUGUAGUACAGUUUUAACAGAGUAAACAGUUUUUGUUUUCCUGUUGCACAGGCUGACAGCUCUCAAUCCAUACCAUUUAUCUCAAGUACAGGGCAAUAUCGAGUUGUUCUUGAACUGAACUUACUUCACUGAUCUUACAUCUUUAAAUUAACAUAAUUGUGUCCACUUUAAUACAGGAAAUACCUGAUGAUAGAUGACAUGUCAGUGAGGUAAAACACGCAGUGAUUUAAAACACAAUUUCUACAUUAAAAUAUAAAUAAAGUACAGUUUGCAAUAAUGCAACGUUGUAUCAAAAAAUUUACAUAACAUAUCCUAUAAUAACUAAUACUGUAAUAGCUUUAUACAGAUAAUUUUUGGGACAUUAUUAUAGAACAGUUGCAGGUAGAGCAAUGUGUAAACAGUUGUCAUGUUACAUACCAUAAUGAACCUAGUUGUAUUUUAAUUCAACUUUGGACAUUACGGUUAUUACCCAAUAGAUAACUGUUAUAAUUUUCAAUACAAAUUCUUUCUGAAAGCUAGCAAUCAUUAAAAGUGUGAAAUAAAAAUAAAAAUUUUACCUCAAGAUAACGAAUGAAAAUUUUCAGAUUUGUAAUGCACUGGUUCAUACUUUUAGUUAUAACACAACACUUGUAUAAAACUAUCUUUUAAGCUAAAUUAAAACAGUAAACUAAUAAUAUUGAACAUUUAAAUACUUAAUGGAAACAGUCAAGUAAUGAGGAUUAUAUGUAUAUUUCACUCUUUUGUAUCAACCUUUACUAAUUUUGCGAUGUAUUAUGAUUUUGUUUAAUACAUGGGUUUUAUGAUGUCAUGAAUGUUCAGACAGAUGAAUAACUAAGAAAUAUAUUCUCUUUCCCAUUGAACAGUGUUUAUCUUCUCCUUUACUUUCUUAAGAUUCCAGAUAUGUAAUCAUUACAUGUUACUAUUUAAGAUCGAGUGAACCAUGGGAAUGGCGUUAAGAGCCGGCUGUUGUGAAAUGGUCUUGAAUAUAAGAUCAAUAAGGUAUAAAAUCGUAAAAGAUGAGUUUAAGAGAGUAUGAUAGUUAGCAACUGCUCGCACUCCUCAGACACCACUUUUAACAAAGAUGUAACAGAACCGAUCCUCUGAUCCAACCCUGCUAUCAAGCAGACAAGAACACUAAUCCCUGAAGUGACACCACCUCUAUAACUGUUACUGCCUAUAAUUUUUAUGAAGCACAUAAAUACUUCAUUAUUUGAGUUCUUCCUCAUUGGAAUUCUUGUCAGUAGACUCCAGAUAAAACUAUUGGAUUAUCUUAUUUUCCGUUGCUUAUUUUGCUAUGAAUUAAUUACCCUAGC